CAGCCGUAAACUAUGCUCGCUAGGUGUCAGGCAUGGCGCGACCGUGUCUGGUGCCGCAGGGAAGCCGUGAAGCGAGCCACCUGGGAAGUACGGCCGCAAGGCUGAAACUUAAAGGAAUUGGCGGGGGAGCACAACAACGGGUGGAGCCUGCGGUUUAAUUGGACUCAACGCCGGACAACUCACCGGGGACGACAGCAAUAUGUAGGCCAGGCUGAAGACCUUGCCUGAAUCGCUGAGAGGAGGUGCAUGGCGUAGUCGUGU
rnacentral:rRNA from 1 species